rnacentral:rRNA from 1 species
UACGGGGGGAGCAAGCGUUGUUCGGAUUUACUGGGCGUAAAGGGCGCGUAGGCGGUAGCACAAGUCAGUUGUGAAAUCUCCGGGCUUAACUCGGAAAGGUCAACUGAUACUGUGCGACUAGAGUGCAGAAGGGGCAACUGGAAUUCUCGGUGUAGCGGUGAAAUGCGUAGAUAUCGAGAGGAACACCUGCGGCGAAGGCGGGUUGCUGGGCUGACACUGACGCUGAGAUGCGAAAGUGUGGGGAGCAAACGGG